UACGGAGGAUCCAAGCGUUAUCCGGAAUCAUUGGGUUUAAAGGGUCCGUAGGUGGACGAUUAAGUCAGGGGUGAAAUCUUGCAGCUCAACUGUAAAAUUGCCUUUGAUACUGGUCGUCUUGAGUUAUUGUGAAGUGGUUAGAAUAUGUAGUGUAGCGGUGAAAUGCAUAGAUAUUACAUAGAAUACCAAUUGCGAAGGCAGAUCACUAACAAUCAACUGACGCUGAUGGACGAAAGCGUGGGGAGCGAACAGG
rnacentral:rRNA from 1 species